ACUUUUUCCCUCUUUCUAUUCUUUUCCGCCCCUCUUCCCUCCUUUUUUUUUGUUUAAAUUUUUUUUAGGUUCUCCCUUCUCCCACGCCUGACGCCUCCUCUCUGUGUUUUCUUCUAUUGGUUCUCCCUCAAUCCAAGCCACCAUGCUCCCUUCCCUUCUCCCACGCCUCCCUUCCCUCAACCCACUCCGCCAAAAAUUGAAGCUCUUCCCUUCUCUCUCUGAUCGAACCCAAAAACCCAAACUCUUCUCUUCUUCCUCUGAUCGAACCCACAAUCACAAACCCAAGCUCUUCUCUCCCUGACCAAACCCAAGCUUGAAACCCAUCUGCUCUUCGUUCUCAUCUCAAAACCGAAGCUUCAAGGGAAGAGAUUAGGCUUCCGUUUGGGUCAGACUGAAGCUCCAUGGGUAUAAACAAUGGGUUAUUAGGUUUUGGUUUGGGUUAGGGUUUGGACGUUUGGUUGUGGGUCUUGUAUUUCUAUCUCAAGUUCAUCACUGAUUGGGGCAAGGCUUCUAGCCGAUUCAACUCCAAAACAGACUGCAAUUGGUAGGGUGCGUUCUGCUUGCUAAAAUAGGUAAUGCGGGGUGUGUCCUGGGCCCCAGAUUUUGAAUCUUCAAGAAGUUUGUUCCAUAAGAUAUAUAUCAUGAUAUUUCAAAAUUAAAAUUGAGGAUCUGAUAGUGACGUACUCCUCAGACCUUAUCAUAGAAGGUUCUUUGGUUGUUGAGGCAACUCUAUGAUGUGGCCCCAAAUGACAUUCAUUUAAUGAUUAGUUGUGUAUCCAAAGUUCUGUGCAAUGCUGAACAUAGAUUUGAUGCUAGCUGUUUGCUGACACUGCUUUUGCAAGAGGGCGCACUUAAAGGAAUGUCUUUAAUAAGUAGGCUGUGUCAUUUUGUACAUUAUCUACUUAUGGACUCGCAAGGAGACUUGCUGUUUUACACUAGUAUCAUACAAGGGGAAAUUGAUGUUGACUCACGUCCAACCAUAUCAAUCACUUGGAGUUAUGAAAUUAACUCUUAUAUUCUUGCCAGUCUUCCAUCUGAAUAUAAUUCUCUUGUGACCUCUGUUACCAGUUGGUUGGAAUCGAUUUCUCUUGAUGAACUCUUUGGACUUCGUUGCAAUUUGGCAUGACUUUAGCAAAUUGUAAAUUUUAGACUUUGAAACAAGCAAGUUCCUAUUUGAAAUUUUGAAACAAGCAGGUUCCUAUUUGAAAUUUUGGACUUCGAAAAAGGCAAGUUCCUUAUGUAAAUACUGUUUGACAGGUUGAUGGUUUAGUAAUUGGAUUAGAUAUGUGAUCGUUGAUAAAUUUUCAAUUGUGCCCAAUGUGAGCUCACAUGUUAGUGAGAGAAAUGUCUCAUACACAUCAAGCACAAGAUACAUUC